rnacentral:rRNA from 1 species
AACAUCUAAGUACCCCGAGGAAAAGAAAUCAACCGAGAUUCCGAAAGUAGCGGCGAGCGAAAUUGGACUAGCCCUUAAGCUUUACACGCGUUAGACGAACGGUCUGGAAAGUCCGACGAUACAGGGUGAUAGUCCCGUAGUUGACGACGUGUGUUCAGUGAAAUCGAGUAGGGCGGGACACGUGAUAUCCUGUCUGAAUAUGGGGGGACCAUCCUCCAAGGCUAAAUACUACUGACUGACCGAUAGUGAACCAGUACCGUGAGGGAAAGGCGAAAAGAACCCCUGUGAGGGGAGUGAAAUAGAACCUGAAACCGUGUACGUACAAGCAGUAGGAGCAGGCUUUGUCCUGUGACUGCGUACCUUUUGUAUAAUGGGUCAGCGACUUAUAUUCAGUGGCAAGGUUAACCAUCUAGGGGAGCCGUAGGGAAACCGAGUCUUAACUGGGCGUUCAGUCUCUGGAUAUAGACCCGAAACCAGGUGAUCUAGCCAUGGGCAGGUUGAAGGUUGAGUAACAUCAACUGGAGGACCGAACCGACUAAUGUUGAAAAAUUAGCGGAUGACUUGUGGCUAGGGGUGAAAGGCCAAUCAAACCUGGAGAUAGCUGGUUCUCCCCGAAAGCUAUUUAGGUAGCGCCUCGGACGAAUACUACUGGGGGUAGAGCACUGUUAAGGCUAGGGGGUCAUCCCGACUUACCAACCCUUUGCAAACUCCGAAUACCAGUAAGUACUAUCCGGGAGACACACGGCGGGUGCUAACGUCCGUCGUGGAGAGGGAAACAACCCAGACCGCCAGCUAAGGUCCCAAAUUACUACUAAGUGGGAAACGAUGUGGGAAGGCUCAGACAGCCAGGAUGUUGGCUUAGAAGCAGCCAUCAUUUAAAGAAAGCGUAAUAGCUCACUGGUCGAGUCGGCCUGCGCGGAAGAUGUAACGGGGCUAAGUAGUAAACCGAAGCUGCGGCAAUAUACUUUUGUAUAUUGGGUAGGGGAGCGUUCUGUAAGCGGUUGAAGGUGUGUGGUAACGCAUGCUGGACGUAUCAGAAGUGCGAAUGCUGACAUGAGUAACGAUAAAGGGGGUGAAAAACCUCCUCGCCGGAAGACCAAGGGUUCCUGUCCAACGUUAAUCGGGGCAGGGUAAGUCGACCCCUAAGGCGAGGCCGAAAGGCGUAGUC